UGGAGGCGGGAAAGAGCAAGAGAAGUGAGGACAUAACUGUAGAAAAACGAGUACAUGUGUGAGUGUUUGCUUUAUUGCAGAGGCCCCACCUACCCCUCCAUCCUGUUAAGGAGGCACAGUCCUGAGGAGGAGGGGUAGGAUGGUGAGGAUCCCCUCCCUCAGCCAAGAGCGCACACACACACACACACACACACACACAUGCUCUCUGUGGUUCAUACACUCUAUUCAGUGAAAGAGCAGCCGCUGCUCUGGAUAGACCACGCAAGAUUCUGCAGGUGUCCCACCCUUCUCUCAAGUCUUGGAUGCCUCAGGAAGCAUCUUCCGGAGGUCUCCUCUCCCUGGCUGAUGUUAGCGAUGUGUCAGCAGUAAGCUAGGCCUGCCUGCGAGGCUGCUGGGCUGUGGUGGCGUCCAUCCCAGUCUGGCUAAAGGCCAGACCAGACAUGUCAUGGCACAACACAACGGAGAUAUGACAAGAUCAAGGAUUGGCAGAAAUGUUCUGUUACAAGAUGCAGUAUUGUUGAUCUAGUAAUAAACAAAGAACUCAAGUUUAAUAUUUAAAUAAAAACAAUGUCCCCCCCCCCCCCUUUUGUCUCUUUCCCUAACAGUCUGCUAUGAUGGAAGCAAGAUGUGAUGCUUGAAAAAGGAAGGGAUGUCAGAGGGGCGUGCAGCACACACACUGCGUUGGGCUCAAACCCAAAAAAGUCAUAAAACAUGUGUUUGUUGGGGUCACAGGCUGAAAGCUGGUGAAUGGUGACCUGAGUGAGAUGCCUUGGUGACAUCUGACCUCUAACUGGGUGUGUGGCUGACCCUGGAGGAUGCAGCUCAACAAUGGAAGGCACGUGCCUCAGCCUAAUCACCAUGGUAACGCUGAAUCUUUAGAGAGACAUAGGGGAAGGGGCCAAACUCUGUCUUUAUCCUGAUUGUUGUUAGCCAUCUGCUGUCAAUUGACUAGUAUGGAUAUGACACACACCCACCACUUCCACCACAGGGGAAGUGUGCGUGUUUGUGUCACAGCAUGGAUACGGUGACAAAUCCAAAGGCUGACUGGGUAAUCUCUGCAGGCAACUGUGAUGGUGAUUUCAUUCUCACAAUCACCUGGAGAGAUUUUGCAGUUUGUCUAAUAUGCUUUAAAAAUGAUUAAAUGACACCCCACACAUAUGCAUCUCUUUGGUUUGCAAAAUAAUGCACAGAAGACUGUGGAAAUUUGGAGGAAGAGCAUUCAUUUUAAUAAAUGUAAUUUUUUGUGUGAA